UACAGAGGGGGCAAGCGUUGUUCGGAAUUACUGGGCGUAAAGGGCUCGUAGGCGGCCAACUAAGUCGGAUGUGAAAUCCCCAGGCUCAACCUGGGAACUGCAUCCGAUACUGGAUGGCUUGAAUCCGGGAGAGGGAUGCAGAAUUCCAGGUGUAGCGGUGAAAUGCGUAGAUAUCUGGAGGAAUACCGGUGGCGAAGGCGGCAUCCUGGACCGGCAUUGACGCUGAGGAGCGAAAGUGUGGGGAGCGAACAGG
rnacentral:rRNA from 1 species